GCCCCGCACGUGCCAGGUCCCCGCGGUUGCGGCCACGCUCGGGACCGGGCCCUGCCAGCUCCGGGCCCGCACGUGGGCGAACCGCGGCCACCGUGAGCCCGGCCUCGCGACCUCCCUCCGGGGCCCCCAUGAUCGGGGGUGCGUGGGAUCUGCGGCCUGCGGGGGUGGAGGGCCGGGAGCUCCCCCGGGCCUGCCUCGAGGGCCGCGGGAUUCGUCCUUGCGAGCCCCGACUGCGCACGGAAGGACCUGGGGUCGGCCAGGCCUGGGGGAUGGGACGGGCCCCGAGGAGAGCGGGUGCCAGGGGCGAGACCCGCCGCCCUUCCCCGGCUUGGUCCCGCGCUUCCUGAUUUUCUCGCUCCACGCCUCCCAUUCUGCCCUCCACCUUCUUCCCUGCCCCGCCCUCGCCCUGCCCGGGCCCAGGAGGCCACUAGAUGUCAGACCCGGUUCGGGCCUUGGCCACGCCGCCGCUCCGGGAGCCCUGGGGGCACCUCCCCAGCCCCCACGGGGGAGACGAUACUGCCGGGAAGGCCCGGACUAGCCCCCGCCCCCGCAGAGUAGCCUUCGGGGAACACCGAUUCCACCAGGCUCUCACGAAAGCCGAGAGCUUGCCGUCCGCAGCUUCCCCUGCCCAAAGCGCAGAGAAACGAGGGCGCCGAGGCCAAGACCAAGACCGGGAGCCAGCCCCUUCGGAGCCCGGUCCAGGCCCCCGGUCCAGGAAGUGCUGUGGGUAGAUAAGGGGCCCAGCUCAGACUUCCUACAAGCUGGGAAGAAAGGGUUCUUUCCUGUCUGAUGCCGGGCCAGAUGUAGCAAGCGCCUAGGGGUAGGAGGGAAAUGGGGUUUCCUCCCCGCAGAGGGAAACCGGCCUCCAUUCAGGAACGCCCUCCCCCACCUGCCCUCCAGGCACCGAGGUUCUGGGAGGCCGGGGGGCAGGGAGACCUGCUUACUUGAAUGCGCUUUGUGUAUUGCCUGUGUAUUGCCACAGGCAGUGGGCAAGAUAGGCCCUGGGGAUCCAGUACUCGCUUAGUACACAGAGAGCAGUCUCCAGCGCCAGGCGAGACGCACAGGCGUGUCAGCUGCAUAUGGCACACGGUGGCACAUGGCACACCUUCCACGAGCAGACACAAGGGGCCGACACAGCAGGGCCCACCCCCUCAGAGGGACCAAGCUUAAACCCUCCAACAACAGAAAAUUUGUAGAGUAUCUUUCAGUUGGAGGAAAUUAAUGGAUAAUUUAAAACGUGGAGGAGGAGUCCUGACCGGCUGAGCAGGGCUGAGUUCCCUCGUGAGAGCCCCGGGCCUUCAGCCCCUUCCAAAGCCAGGAGAGACUCCUGCUGAGGGGUGAUAGGGGCCCUUUGGCUUCCCCCUCACCCCACGGCCCAGCAGCACGGGGCUGCAGGCUUUUCCCUUAGGAGGAAGAGCAGCCGCCUCCCUGCCAGCAGUGUUCUCAAGGGCCUGCACACCCGCUGCAUGGGGGGGCUCAUGGCUACACCUAACCCAUUUUAAAGAACAGGCAACGCCACCAAACUGCUCUCUGGCACUAGGGCCCAGAGGCCUUGCCCCAGCUCCCAGAUGUCCCAACCCAGGACGACAGACACCCAGACUAACUACCUUGCAACCCUGUUCCUGCUGCCGAAGCUCCUGCCUUGGAAGCCUGAGAAGUGUGCAGUCCUUCAGCUUGGGAAAGGUGGGAAAGGAGAGGACCCCUCCUGCCCUUUCUUGAGUGGCACAAGAUGAGUUCCAGGGCCUCCUGAGUUGUGCUAACGCCUGUAAUCCCAGCACUUUGGGAGGCCGAGGCGGGCGGAUCACCUGAGAUCGGGAGCUAGAGACCAGCCUGACCAACGUGGAGAAACCCCAUCUCUACUAAAAAUACAAAAUUAGCCGGGCGGGGUGGCACAUGCCUGUAAUCCCAGCUACUCCGGAG
rnacentral:lncRNA from 1 species